rnacentral:rRNA from 1 species
CCUACGGGGGGCAGCAGUCGAGAAUCAUUCACAAUGGGGGAAACCCUGAUGGUGCGACGCCGCGUGGGGGAAUGAAGGUCUUCGGAUUGUAAACCCCUGUCAUGUGGGAGCAAAUGAAAAAGAUAGUACCACAAGAGGAAGAGACGGCUAACUCUGUGCCAGCAGCCGCGGUAAUACAGAGGUCUCAAGCGUUGUUCGGAAUCACUGGGCGUAAAGCGUGCGUAGGCUGUUUCGUAAGUCGUGUGUGAAAGGCGCGGGCUCAACCCGCGGACGGCACAUGAUACUGCGAGACUAGAGUAAUGGAGGGGGAACCGGAAUUCUCGGUGUAGCAGUGAAAUGCGUAGAUAUCGAGAGGAACACUCGUGGCGAAGGCGGGUUCCUGGACAUUAACUGACGCUGAGGCACGAAGGCCAGGGGAGCGAAAAGGAUUAGAUACCCGGGUAGUC